rnacentral:rRNA from 1 species
GACGUAGGGGGCCAGCGUUGUUCGGAAUUACUGGGUGUAAAGGGUUCGUAGGCGGUGCGGCAAGUUGGGAGUGAAAUCUCUGGGCUUAACCCAGAGGCUGCUUCCAAAACUGCUGUGCUUGAGUGUGGGAGAGGCGCGUGGAAUUGCAGGUGUAGCGGUGAAAUGCGUAGAUAUCUGCAGGAACACCCGUGGCGAAAGCGGCGCGCUGGACCACUACUGACGCUGAGGAACGAAAGCUAGGGAGCAAACAGG